rnacentral:rRNA from 1 species
GUAGUCCACGCCCUAAACGAUGUCAACUGGUUGUUGGACGGCUUGCUGUUCAGUAACGAAGCUAACGCGUGAAGUUGACCGCCUGGGGAGUACGGCCGCAAGGUUGAAACUCAAAGAAAUUGACGGGGACCCGCACAAGCGGUGGAUGAUGUGGUUUAAUUCGAUGCAACGCGAAAAACCUUACCUACCCUGACAUGCCUGGAAUCCUGCAGAGAUGUGGGAGUGCUCGAAAGAGAACCAGGACACAGGUGCUGCAUGGCCGUCGUCAGCUCGUGUCGUGAGAUGUUGGGUUAAGUCCCGCAACGAGCGCAACCCUUGCCAUUAGUUGCUACGAAAGGGCACUCUAAUGGGACUGCCGGUGACAAACCGGAGGAAGGUGGGGAUGACGUCAGGUCCUCAUGGCCCUUAUGGGUAGGGCUACACACGUCAUACAAUGGCCGGUACAGAGGGCUGCCAACCCGCGAGGGGGAGCUAAUCCCAGAAAACCGGUCGUAGUCCGGAUCGCAGUCUGCAACUCGACUGCGUGAAGUCGGAAUCGCUAGUAAUCGCGGAUCAGCUUGCCGCGGUGAAUA